rnacentral:rRNA from 1 species
AUUGAACGCUGGCGGCAGGCUUAACACAUGCAAGUCGAACGAGUGGCGGACGGGUGAGUAAUGCUUGGGAAUCUUGCUUAUGGCGGGGGAUAACUACGGGAAACUGUAGCUAAUACCGCGUACCAUAGGUUGAGCCCAAGUGGGAUUAGGUAGUUGGUGAGGUAAGGGCUCACCACGCCGACGAUCUCUAGCUGGUCUGAGAGGAUGACAAGCCGAACGGGGACUGAGACACGGCCAAGACGCCUACGGGAGGGAGAAGUGGGGAAGAUGGCACAAUGGGGGAAAGCCUGAUGCAGCCAUGCCGCGUGUGUGAAGAAGGCAUUCGGGUUGGAAAGCACUUUCAGCGAGGAGGCGUUACUCGCAGAAGAAGCACCGGCUAACUCCGUGCCAGCAGCCGCGGUAAUUC